UUGGUUUGUACUGUCCUGACUGGGUCUUACCUUCUGGUGAGCUGUCGUGUUGUUUACUCAGCGCGGAGGGGAACCAGGACUUUUACUUUGAAACAACAUUAGAGUGUUUCAAAGCAGGCAUUCGCUUGAAUACAUUAGCAUGGAAUAAUAGAAUAGGACUUUGGUUCUAUUUUGGUUGGGUCCUCUAGGGACCGGAAGUAAAUGAUUAAUAGGGAUAAGUUGGGGGCAUUAAGUAUUUAAUUUGUCCAGAGGGUGA
rnacentral:rRNA from 1 species